ensembl:lncRNA
GGCAAAUACAGGAUAUGUGUCUUUAAGGAGGCGACAAUUGUCAGACACACUCACAUCCUCUUAGUUGUUUUACCACUGGCUUAUUGCCCUGGUACUGAACAAAACAUCCACAAGCAAUUUGUAUUGGAAGUAACUAUUUAGUCUUCAGACUCUUUAUCAGUGGUGGACUGCUCACUCGUAUGCAUGGCACCAAGUCAGACCUUGAAGAUGAUGCGAUUCCUGUUCCUGUGUCUGCUGCUACUGCUGCCAACCACUACUGCUGUUUCAGAAGAGAGGGAAGGAUCAGCUGAUUAUGAUGGGGAUGAUGAGGAUGUAUUUGAGAGAGCUGAGGUUGUUCAUAGCAAACAUGCUCAUGAGUCAACAGUUGUAGAUAAAACUACAGGUGAAGAAACAAAGUCGGAUCAUCUCACCCUCAUCAUUAUUGUUGUAGCCGUGACUGUGUUGGCUCUUUCAAUUGCCACGAUUGUCAUCAUAAUAUUAGUAAGGCGCCGCGUUCAGAUUCGUCAGCAAGGGGUCUAUGCCGUGCCUACAGAGCAGGACAAGAAAGGGGCCAUCUAGUUCCUGGUGGAGCUGCAGUUCUGCAACACAAUGAAAAAGAGGAGCAAUGCACAGGGAGCCUUCUCUUACUCUUUGACUCAGGACAGUUACACUUCUUUGCACAACAGCCUGCUUUUCACCAUUCACUUUGCAACUUCUUACACAGCCUCCAAUCAAAAAAAUAUGCAUUUGGUGUUUUUUUAUUUAUUUUUUUAAAUCUAUAUAUUUGUCUUUGUCCCAGCCAUUUGUAGUCCACGUGCACACAGUUUAGCCUGGGACAUUUGGAACACAUUCAAACUCUCUAAUUGGAUUCUAUUUGAGGAAUCUAAAUCAGCGCCAGUGAAUAUGGCUUUAAGCCUCUUUUGUUAAAAGGGAUAAUUUGCACAGCCAGACCCCCCCCCCACACCCUUUUAUUGCCACCUGAAACACAAAAUUAUUCCCACAAGCUAUGCUGCAAAACUGUAUUUUCAUGUCAUUUGGUGUAUGUGGAACAGACCUGUCGCUGUGAAAUGGUGGUUGAGUGAGACAAACCACGCUAAUCCACACUAAGACAGCCCAGCGCUCACUUCGUUCUCCUAUUCACUUGUCUGACAUCUUCUGUUUGUGGCCCAUUAGGAGUGACAGUAGGCAGUGCAAUAGGAAGAUAAAAGCCUGUUCCCCCUCUUCUGAACUUCAGUAAGAAAAAAAACAAGUGGAAAUAGCCAGUGUGAACACUCUUUCAAGACAGCAAAUGAGUUGAUUGCCUUGAAUGAUGUUUUCUUUUCAACCUCUCGUUUUCAUUUUCAAAGGGUUUCACUUCAGUCUUGCAGAUUGUAAAUAGCCCUGUGAAUGUUGUACAGAGUAAGAUUAAUGCUUCACGUACCGGUGGAGAAAAGCCGGGUGUGAGGGAAGAAUAAAAUCUGCAUCAAAUAGUGUCGGGAUGAUUGUGGGGAAAUACCAACAAUUCCUUUGUUUAUACUGAGCAUGAUGGCUUCUCUGUUUUCAUUUAGAUGGAAAUCAAUCAUCCCUUGUGAACGAAAGCUUUCUAUUCAAGGACCCAAGGCACUGGUUGCCUUAUUUGCUCUGAUACAAAGAAACACAUUUUCCCUGGGGGAAGGAACAUGCCCCUAUUCAGCGUGCCAGUUUUUCAUUUGUGACUUGGGUAACUUUAGGAAAGGUUUAAAACUGGCUCUAAUCCAGCCAGCUCGGUUUGCAUCAGGUGCAGCAGUUAUUUCAGGGCCGUGCUGAGGCAUCUUUGAAAAUGAUGUAUUCCAACCUACUUUAACAAUGACAGGCAGAUUGGCAGGUGAGAUUAUUGCUAGUGCAUUUGUCUCAGUGUUCAUAUUUGAGCUCUGUGUGCACAAUGCUGUAUUUUGCGAAAUACUGCGUUGCGAAAUAGAAAUAGGUGCCGGCAUUUCAAAGGCAGGACAACUGGACACAAAUUGCAGCAUAAAACAUUUCAGUUCUUCUGUGUUUGCGAAGUCUGUCUCUUCAUAUGUAGUCAUAUUCCCUUUUACAUAUAUAUUUCUGUGCAGCAACAUUUGAAUGUAGCGAUAUUGUCUUUGAAUGCUUUCUCCUAGAUGGUAGAAGCAAACAGACUUAGAGAAAUACAGUAUUUAGUCUAUUUUACCCCACAGAUGCCAACACAAUGUUAUUUACUUGUAAUGCCGCUGUGCUGUGACACCGCUCACGUAAACCUAAUGAAUUAAUUGUGACUACUGUCUUUAUCCACUAAGACACAAUAUUGUAUGUUGGAUGUUUUUCUUUUUUUAAUGGCUCAAUAAUAACUUUUGUAGCUUUUUAUGUAAUAUAAAAUGUAUGUAUUUACAAAUUUUCUGACCUAUGCAUCCCUAUUCUGUCUCUUGAUGGGAAAAAUACUACAUUUAGCUUCUAUUUUUCAUUUUAAGUCUAAAAAUCUAAUUGUUACAUUUAAAGGGCAAGGUCUUUUUCCUCACCUGUUCAAUCAUAAAUUGUAUAAAGUUGUGGUGGAUGGGAUCAUUCUUUGAGUAUAGUAUUUGUAUUGUUUAGUGUCAUAUUGCAGCAAUGUUUGGUAGAAAGUAUGGUCUAAAAUGUUAAAUAUAAAUUUUUAAAUGCACUUGUGUCUGCAGAUUAAUCCAUAUGUAUUACUUGUAACAAGGAUGUUCAUUCACAUUGAUUUCCACCAAGCAAAAUUAGUAAAACAUGCCGUUGCUAAAGAAAAUGGUUGCAACAGGAGACUUUAUCAAGAUUUUAUUGUGUUUGCUCAGCUGUGGUUUUUCUGACAGUAAGUUGAACAUUCAAUACUAAAACAAAAAAACUAUUUUUGUUGUUGUUGUUGUUGUUUAUUUUUCCCAUUAAAGUUCUAAAAAAAAAAUACAAAUUUUUGUUUCUAUCAUUUCACACCAUAUGGAUGCAAAUAUAAUGCACUGGUGCGUUUUGUUUAAUCUAGGACUUUACUGCCUUACAAGCGUAGAGCCACUAAGAGGCUUUGACACCCCUCACUAAAUAUCAUGGUUUUAGGGUUAGACUGCAUGAAGAAGAGGUGACUGAGCUUCAUCUUCAGAUACUAACAGAGCAUAGAUGUUGUGUAAGACAGCUAAAUAUGGGGUGCUAUAAACUCAGUCUUCUGUAACCUUUAAUAACGGUCGUGGCUGUGAGAUCUGCCUCUGGCACAUCGGGUGUAUGAUAUGUGAUGUUUUUACAUCUCUCACUCCACUGCAUGAUUCGUGUGUUCUGUGUUUAUUCAUUGUUUUUUAAUGACACUGUUACUAAGCAGCCUACAGUAACUCCACAUGGACACACGCACACGUUGCCAGGUGAUGGUUGAAUGUUAUCCUCCUGAUGGACUCCGGGCUU